rnacentral:rRNA from 1 species
GACGAACGCUGGCGGCGUGCUUAACACAUGCAAGUCGAACGGAAAGGCCCUGCUUUUGUGGGGUGCUCGAGUGGCGAACGGGUGAGUAACACGUGAGUAACCUGCCCUUGACUUUGGGAUAACUUCAGGAAACUGGGGCUAAUACCGGAUAGGAGCUCCUGCUGCAUGGUGGGGGUUGGAAAGUUUCGGCGGUUGGGGAUGGACUCGCGGCUUAUCAGCUUGUUGGUGGGGUAGUGGCUUACCAAGGCUUUGACGGGUAGCCGGCCUGAGAGGGUGACCGGCCAAAUUGGGACUGAGAUACGGCCCAGACUCCUACGGGAGGCAGAAGGGGGGAAUAUUGCACAAUGGGCGGAAGCCUGAUGCAGCAACGCCGCGUGCGGGAUGACGGCCUUCGGGUUGUAAACCGCUUUCGCCUGUGACGAAGCGUGAGUGACGGUAAUGGGUAAAGAAGCACCGGCUAACUACGUG